rnacentral:tRNA from 1 species
AUUGAACACGCAAAGUUAAAUUUUUAAAGUAGUUUAAAAAAAAAACAUUACAUUUUCAUUGUAAAAUUAAUAAAUUUUCUUAA